UGAGUAUUCUACCUUGUAAAUACUAUUAUUUGUAUAUACUGUAAAUGAUGACAUCAGUGGGCACUAACUGAGCCCGGGGAAACUGGGAACAACCUCAAAACCAAAAGCAGACACAGCAUAAGCAGCGACCACAGGCCACUGUAGAACAGAUUCAACUUGCGCAGAUGAUUUUGGACCACAGUGAUGCUGACUUUGAGGAGAAAGUGAAACAAUUGAUUGAUAUCACAGGCAAGAACCAGGAUGAGUGUGUGAUUGCUUUGCAUGACUGCAAUAGAGAGGUCAACAGAGCAAUCAAUUGUUCUUCUGGAAGGAAACCCAGACACACAUUCUUGGGAGAUGGUCAGGAAGAAGAAAGGUGUCUCAGGACAGAAGGAUGGUGGUCAGGCAAAAUCCAGUGAGGAAGGCAAAGAAAAUCGAGACCAGGACAGAGACUAUAGUUGAUGAUGUGGUGGGCCACCAAGACAGGGGAGAGGUACCAGCCAAAAAUGAGAGUGUGUCCUUGGGGCUUUGUCAAAACCAACCAUGGUUCAGGGUCAGGAAAAUGGAUUGGAUGGCACCAAGAGUGGAGGACCUCCUGGAAGAGGCACAGAAAGAGGCUGAAGAGGCUGAAGAGGCUGUGGCUGAGGCAGAGGAGGCUCUGGUAGGCACGAAGGAAGGUUUUCUGCUCAAGGGAUGGAAAAUUUUAACCCAGCUGAUUAUGCAGAGCCAGCCAAUACUGAUGAUAACUAUGGCAAUAGUGGCAGCAAUACAUGGGACAAUACUGACCACUUUGAAACAGAUGAUGGGACAAGCCUUGAUUUCAUUGGGGUUGAGGGAUCAAAUUAUCCCCGAAAAUUUGAGACUGCUCCUGGUCUGAUACAUCCAGGUGCAUGGAGGGCUGUAACAGAGGAGUGGGGAGCUGAAGAUUGGAAUGAAGAUCUUUCUGAGACCAAGAUCUUCACUGCAUUUAAUGUGUCUUCAGUGCCUCUGCCUGCAGAGAAUGGGACAAUCACUGCUGGUCAGAGAACUGACCUUGCUGUUCUGCUGGGGAAGACACCAUCUUCAAUAGAGAAUGAUUCAUCUAAUCUGGAUCCAUCUCAGGCUCCUUCACUGGCUUAGCCUCUGGUAUUCAGUAACUUGAAGCAGAGUGCCAUAUCACAGCCUGCUUUGGGGAGCACGUUUUCCCAUCAUGGUAUGGUGAGCAUGUUGGGGAAGGGAUUUGGUGAUUUCGGUGAGGCUGAAGGUGGCAGUACCACAGGCUCCCAGUUCUUAGAGCAAUUCAAGACUGCGUAGGCCCUGGCUCAGUUGGCAGCUCAGCAUUUCAGUCUGUAAGCACCACUACCUCCUCUUGGGACAUGGCCUCAAUGACAUAGUCCCCAUCACUGGAGCAGUAUGCUUUGAAGAACCCAGAUGAUUCAGCGGUGCACAGCCCCUUUACAAAAUGCCAACCUUUCACUCCAUCUUCAACCAUGAUGGAGGUGUUCCUUCUGGAGAAGCCUCCUGCAGUGGCAACCUCCACAGCUGCACCUCCACCCCCCUCUUCACCUCUGCCAAGCAAAUCCACCUCACCUCCAGAGAUGUCUCCUGGGGCUUCAGACAACCAGUCCUCCAACCCUCAGCCUGCUGAGCAGAAACUGAAAUAGCAGAAGCAAAAAGCCUCUUUGACUUCUAAGACUCCUGCUUUGGCUGUGGAUAUGCCUGGCUUAGCAGGUAUCUCAGGACUAAAUCUGCAGUUUGGGGAACUGCAGUUUGAGUCAGAGCCUAUCCUUUCUGAUUAUGAGUCCACCCCCACCACGAGCGCCUCUUCAAGCCAGGCUCCAAGCAGCCUGUAUACCAGCACGGCCAGUGAAUCUUCAUCUACAAUUUCAUCUAACCAGAGUCAGGAUUCUGGUUAUCAGAGUGGCCCAAUUCACUCAACAACCUAUACCUCCUAAAACAAUGCUCAGGGCCCUCUAUAAGAACAGAGAUCCACACAGACUCGGCGGUACCCCAGCUCCAUCACCCUAAAAGGACCUGACUCAGGCAAAGAAUGGCUUCCGUUCUGUGCAGGCCACACAGUUACAGACCACACAAUCGGUUGAAGGUGCUACAGGCUCUUCGGUGAAAUCUGACUCACCUUCCACUUCUAGUGUCUCCACACUCAAUGAAACAGUAUCUGUAGUUUCCCUACUGACAACCACCAAUCAACACUCUUUCUCCUUGGGUGGCUUGAGCCAUGGAGAGGAGAUUCCAAGUACCACCACCACACAACACAGCAGCAUGUUAUCUACACAUCAGAAUACGCUUUUGUCAUCAACAUCUUCUGGGCACACAUCAAUAUCCACUCUCCUGCCUACAAGUGUGGAGAGUGAAGUGAAUCUCCAUUCUUCCUCUAGCACUUUCUCUACCAUGUCCAGCACAGUCUCUGCACCUCCCCUAGUAGUCAGCAUCUCUUCCAGUCUCAAUAGUGGCAGUAGUUGGUCUCAGCCUAAGCAGCAACUCUACCAUCAUGGCCUCAACUUGAAGCUCAGUUGCUACAACUUCAGGAAAAGCUCCUCCCAACCUCCCUCCUGGGGUCCUGCCAUUGUUACCUAAUCCAUAUAUUAUGGCUCCAGGGCAGCUACACGCCUGUUGCCUAUGAGUCACAAGUGUAUGGUUAUGAUGACUUGCAGAUGCUUCAGACAAGGUUUCUAUUGGAUUACUACAGCAUCCCAUUUCCCACACCCACCACUCCACUGACUGGGAGGGAUGGUAGCCUGGCCAGCAACCCUUAUUCUGGUGACCUCACAAAGUUUGACCAUGGGGAUGCCUCCUCCCCAGCUCCAGCCACAACCUUGGCCUAGCCCCAACAGAACCAGACUCAGGCACACUACACCACACAGCAGAAGUUCCUGAAUAUGGUGCUGCCUCCUGGCUACAGUUAUACCAGCCUGCCAUACUACACAGGGGUUCUUGGGCUCCCCAGAAUCUUUCAGUAUGAGCCUGCUAUGUUCCCUUGGCUCCUACCUCUUCCAAGCAGCAUAGUGUGAAUGUCAGUAUGAAUGCAUCAGCCACCACUUUCCAACAUAUGGGUCUCAUCGAUACAACACUGGUGUAUCAGUUACCUCCAGUAACACAAGCAUGCCAGAUAUCUCGGGUUCUGUGUACUCCAAAACCCAGCAGUCCUUUGAGAAACAAACUUUUCAUUCUGGUACUCCUGCUGCCUCCUUCAACUUGCCCUCAGCCCUUGGAAGUGGAGAGCUCAUCAAUCCGGCCACAGCUGCUGCCUAUCCAGCUGCCCCCUUUAUGCAUAUUCUGACACCCCAUCAGCAGCCCACUCCCAGAUCCUUCACCAUCAUCUGCAGCAGGUUCACCAGAUGGGCAGCAGGCAACGUAGCCAGACCAGCUCCAUCCUACAGAAGCCCCAGACCAAGAGGUCUGCCUACAACAUCUACAGCGGGGGGGGGGGGGGUCAAUUGAAGCCCUGA